AAGUCAGAUGUGAAAGCCUUCUGUUCAACGGAAGAAUUGCAUCUGAAACUGCGAGUCUUGAGUGUAGGAGGGGAGAAUGGAACUUCUGGUGGAGCGGUGAAAUGCGUAGAUAUCAGAAGGAACGCCGGCGGCGAAAGCGAUUCUCUGGCCUAUUACUGACACUCAGUGUGCGAAAGCUAGGGGAGCAAACGGGAUUAGAUACCCCGGUAGUCCUAGCUGUAAACGAUGGGCACUAAGUAGAGGGGAUUACCGAUGUUCUCUCUGCCGUAGCUAACGCAUUAAGUGCCCCGCCUGGGGAGUACGGCCGCAAGGCUAAAACUCAAAAGAAUUGACGGGGGCUCGCACAAGCGGUGGAGCAUGUGGUUUAAUUCGAUGCAACGCGGAGAACCUUACCGGGGCUUGACAUGGUAGAAGUAGGAACCUGAAAGGGUAACGAACGGUAUCCAGUCCGUAACUAUCACAGGUGUUGCAUGGCUGUCGUCAGCUCGUGUCGUGAGACGUUGGGUUAAGUCCCCUAACGAGCGAAACCCUUGUUUUUAGUUACCAGCGGGUUAUGCCGGGUACUCUAGAAAGACUGCCGUCGUCAAGACGGAGGAAGGUGGGGAUGACGUCAAGUCAUCAUGGCCCUUAUGCCCCGGGCUACACACGUGCUACAAUGGCCGGUACAAACGGAAGCGAAG
rnacentral:rRNA from 1 species